GAGAACCCCGAGGUAUCUUAGUUGGCCUAAAGGUGCGAGUGACUUGUCUUUGGCUACCGAGUACUGGUACAAUUCACUAACAAAAGGAAGUUUGACGAGAGCACUGCGUCGAGAUUGUGUCUGUGACACAUAUACUCAAACUUGUCUUUGUGUAGUGCCACAUUUUUCGUUCAGACCAUUUUAUGACACUGUUCAAGUUGUUUUGUAAGACAGAUAUGUCUUGUUCACAGGUUAUCGAGAUCGAAACACCAGUGUCUUAUGAUGGAUUCAGUUAUGCAAUGUUCGAUAGUUGAGCAUUUAGCUCCUUUGGAAGCCGAGAUAUCUUGUAUAAAGUGCAGUGCUGUAAUUGCUAAUUGCGAGAGCGCAAAUAGGUGCGGCCACAUAAUUCAACAACCUAAUGUCUCAGGACUUUGAAAUUAUGCCUCAUUCUCUAUAUAUAGUGUAUAACGCCAUAGAAUAGCAUCUGUAAACAGUAAAAAUACAUACUAGGCACAGGUGGUAUUUUAGUAAUUUUGGGGUAUUUUGGGGAAUGCCUUAGUGGAUUUUGGAAAUCCCCCAUAAUAUAGUACCCCUAAAUACCCUUUGGCUUCCCCCUAUAUAUUCUUUCCGGUUUAAAAAAUUUACUACAAGAGAAAAGGUGUCAGCAACGAACCAGACUUUCAUAUCAAUUUGUCAUUCUUCGAAGUUCCAUACAGACACAUGAAUAAAUUACAUGUAUAAUAUAUGUAUUCAUCUUUAUUUAUUCAAUAACGUGCAGUUAAAUACAAUCUACAAUACAAUGUACAUUUUCAUUGUGUUGCUGGUUAAUGAUUUACUUUUACUCAUUCCGGUCUGUUUGUUUACUUACUCCUACCCUUUUUAACUGCGGCAGUGAAAUCCCGGGUUACACAGUAUGUUAAUAAAUUGCCUUACCUUAUUAUAAAAGUAUAAAUUUGUAACCCGAAUUCUCUUCCUCAGCGUUCACAAAUUUGGUCAAUUUGACACGAACCGCUGUGUCGACAAGAUAAAUUCACACAGCAAGGACAGCGAGACACCUGGCUACGAAGUUCUAAAGAGUAGCAGCCGAGAAACAUGAUUUCCCCUAACGAGUGGUCGCAGCCGACAGCUGGAAUUAUGAUACUAAGAUUGCUGAAGGACUUAUUUGAAAACAAAAAACGAGUUACAUAUUGGAUAUUUUGAUAUAUCAGUCAAUUUUCAAGGGCAUAUGAUAAGACUGGCGAUAUCUGCAGAACGUAUAAUAUUUAAAGUUUGUGACAAUUUGAAAUUCGAAACUCUGUGUAAUACUUCUUUAUAUAUAAGGUUCACUUUGAAAUAUAAAA